rnacentral:lncRNA from 1 species
AUCCUCAGUUAUGGGGCUGGGUUCUGGGGUGCAGGUCCCAUAAAGGGAGGCAGUGCCCAGGAUUCUGGGGGCGGGGACUGGGAUCUGCCCUGACCUCUGCGUCCACAACCCCUACCCUCUCCCCCCCAAGACUACACAGUGGAGAACCUUGUCCGGAUGGCCGUGGCUGGCCUGAUCCUGCUGGGCCUCGGGAUUCUGCUCUUCCAGGCUCAACACAGCUAUGGAGGAACACAAGAUGCGGCCAGGAGCUCAGAACAGAAGCAACAGGGCACCGUCCAGAGUGGCAGAGCCUUAGAAAUGACCUGAUGGGCCCAGAAGGUUCUGGAAGAGAAUCUGCAGUGUUGUGAGAACUGCCUGCUGAGGCCAUGGAGGGAGAGACAGGGUGUGGGUGCGGGGGGAGGACUGGGGAGUCCCUGUGCAGGGCUCUGCCUCUGUUACACCAAGGUGCUCUCCUCCUCCACGGACGCCGCUCCCUGACGGCCUGUCCUCUCUCACCUGGGACAUGAGGCGCAGCCCACACGGCAGGUGUGUGCCCACACCUUAAACACCUGCGUGCUCUGGUUCAGUUUCCUGCAAUAUAGUUUCCUUUGUUUUUAAUUUCCACAUUCUCUGGUGUGUGAUAUUGAUCUCCAUUCCUUUGCUCAUACACAGAAUAGGGUUCAAGUAACUGAAUAAAUGGGUGUAAUUGGGGCCCAAUUUGGGACACAUGAAUCCAACACUCACCCCUUAAGCCCUUUCUGGACCGUCAAGCCCUCCUCCCCUCAUCAGAUGACACCUGACAUAGGUUCUCCAGAAACACCAGAGUUUGAAGCAACACCCUAGUGUUUGAAGUGACAGCCAGGUGCUGUGCCAGUAAGUGGGCUUUAAGAAUAUACCUUUUUAAGCAUGAUAAUUGUACAUGUAUGUGUAACUGGGUCACCAUGCUGUACAGUAGAAAAAAAAUAUUGGGGAAAUAACAAUUGAUUACAAUUAAGACUCCUUGAUAAGAAAAAGAAAGAAAGAAUACACCUUUUUAAAAUAUAAAAAGUCCAUAUUUGUGCAAUUCAUCUGUCUUUAGUAUAACUCUUCCUGGCCAACGUCAAGGUACCCAUGCAAAUGCACUGAAGGCAGAGGUGGGAAGUAGUGAAGAGAGUUGUAUAAUGGGUGUUCCCAUUGUG